rnacentral:lncRNA from 1 species
AUUGGAAUAAACUUGGACUUUUAUUCUUAAACAAUAAUGGGAAUAACUUUUCAAGAUACAUAAAAUUGGGAUGACCUAAUCGGAAAUGCCAAAGUAUGGUUUCAUUAUUUAGACUGGGAAUGGAAACAUUGAACAAUGAACUGUGAAAACCUAGACUACCUACUUGUAGAGCUUGUCCACUUGGAGAGUUGCUGUUGCUUGUGAUCAGAUACAACCCUGAACACUCCCUAGCACUGCCAAUCAUCCUCCCCGAUUCCAUAUCUUGAAAUUCACAAAGAUUAUUGAAAAAUUUAGUGACACACCAAUAAUCACGUGUAACUUUACUGACAGAUAAUAAAUUGCAAUCCGAUUUUGGAACAAAUAACACAGAUUGAAGUAUCCAAUCUUUGGAUAACUUCACUGUUCUGAUUCCGGCCACUUGUGAAUGUGUUCCAUUAGCAAUUCUCGGACUUGCCAUUUCUCCUUGCAUGGAUUUAGAUCAAUAAAUAGGUGUGGAUUACCAGUCAUAUGGUCAGAGGCCCCGGAGUUAACUAUCCACACAUUUGGAUUCUUCCGUUUAGCAUUUAGGGUGAGUGUACCUUUGUGGGCCACAAAUCCGAUGGCUAUUAGGGAUGAAUGUAGGUUGUUUUGCUGCUGUCUAAAGAGCUGUUGAAGCAUUUCCAAUUGCUACUUGCUAAAGAGGGAGGCUCCAGUUGUAUCUGGUUUUCCAUCGGAGACGGUUGUCCUUGCAUCAUCAGGCCUACCAUGUAAGUUCUAGCACUUGUCUUUUGUGUGGCCGAUUUUGUGACAGUGGUCACAUUUAGGUCUCUCCUUUUUGUAUUUCCCAUUGCCGAAUGAACGUUGUCUGCCUUGAGUAAUGAAGGCUGAAGUUUCAGAGUUGUGUGCAUUUUGCUUCCCCAUCAUGACCUUUUUCCGGCUCUCUUCGCGUCUUACUUCAGCGAAGGCUUCUCUGAGACUUGGCAUUGGUUUCGUGGAAAGGAUUCUUCCACGUACGUCAUCCAAGUGUUUGUUGAGUCCUAUCAAGAACUUGUAUAAACGUUUCUGCUCAACAAGUUUCUUGUGGUAGGAUGCAUCAUCCGGACACUUCCACUUGUGUUCUUCAAACAGAUCUAGUUACUGCCAAUGGCGGUUGAGGAUGCUGAAAUAUUGGGUGACAGUGAGGUCUUCUUGUUGCUGAUCAUGGAGGAGACACUGAAUGUCGAAUAACUCCGAAGUGUGUUCCACAUGUGAGUAUGCCUCCUUCGCCGCUUCCCAAAUUCUGCAGCCGAAAGUACAGGAGAAAAUUUUCACCUAUUUCAUUGGUCACGGAGUUGAGAAGCCAUGACAUGACAUGAUUAUUUUCGGUCUUCCAUGCUCGGUAAGUGGACUCUUCCUUCUUUGGCUGGGCUGCUUCUCCGGUGAGAUACUCUCUCUUCCUUUGCUUGAUAUAAAUAUUAGAACAGAUUGUGACUAUUGUAAAUAAUUCUGGCCAUUUAAUUUGUGGCCGGUGAUGGAGAAUGACGACCCAUCGGUGGCUCCCGAAAGGCUGAUAGAACUUGGGA